ensembl:misc_RNA 7SK 7SK RNA
GGGCUGUGACAUCUGUUACUUCACUGAUCAACAAGAUUGAGUUAGGAAAAUUUGCCUGAUUAAGGAGGUGUCCACUUUAUCAGUACCCAUGUACAUCCUUCCUAAAACUGUAUGCUUAGUUAAAGAGGAUGAAUUUCACAAUUAGAGGAGGAUUGGUCUUCAAUUAAGGGCAUAGAAGUAGUUGGGCUCCCUUGGAAAGAACAUCCAAAUGAGUUCUUAAGAAAUACUGACCUGCAAAUCUUAAAUAUCCCACAGAUGUUCACACUGCACAGGCAUGAUCCUGUGGGUAGAAUUGU